AGAGUUUGAUCCUGGGCUCAGAAUGUACGCUGGCGGCACGCCUAACACAUGCAAGUCGAGCGAGGUACUUGUACCUAGCGGCAGACGGGUGCGUAACAUGUGGGAAUCUGCCUUUUGGUUCGGAACAACAUGGGGAAACCUGUGCUAAUACCGGAUAAGUCCUUACGGAGAAAGAUUUAUCGCCGAAAGAUGAGCCCGCACUAGAUUAGCUUGUUGGUAAGGUAAAAGCUUACCAAGGCAACGAUCUAUAGCUGAUUUGAGAGGAUGAUCAGCCACACUGGGACUGAGACACGGCCCAGACUCCUACGGGAGGCAGCAGUGGGGAAUCUUGCACAAUGGAGGAAACUCUGAUGCAGCGAUGCCGCGUGAGUGAAGAAGGCCCUUGGGUUGUAAAACUCUUUUGUCGGGAAAGAUAAUGACUGUACCCGAAGAAUAAGGUCCGGCUAACUUCGUGCCAGCAGCCGCGGUAAUACGAAGGGACCUAGCGUAAUUCGGAAUUACUGGGCGUAAAGCGCGCGUAGGCGGUUAAGUAAGUUAAUUGUGAAAGCCCAAAGCUCAACUUUGGAAUUGCAAUUAAAACUACUUAGCUAGAGUUUAUCAGAGGAAAGCGGAAUACAUAGUGUAGAGGUGAAAUUCGUAGAUAUUAUGUAGAACACCAGUUGCGAAGGCGGCUUUCUGGGGUAAUACUGACGCUGAGGUGCGAAAGUAUGGGUAGCGAAGAGGAUUAGAUACCCUCGUAGUCCAUACUGUAAACGAUGAUUGUUAGAUGUUGGAAAUUUAUUUUCAGUAUCACAGCUAACGCGUUAAACAAUCCGCCUGGGGAGUACGACCGCAAGGUUAAAACUCAAAUGAAUUGACGGGGACCCGCACAAGCGGUGGAGCAUGUGGUUUAAUUCGAAGCUACGCGCAGAACCUUACCAACACUUGACAUGUCUGUCGCGGAAUCCAGAGAUGGAUUCUUUCGGUUCGGCCGGACAGAACACAGGUGCUGCCAUGGUCUGUCGUCAGCUCGUGUCGUGAGAUGUUGGGUUCAGUCCCGCA
rnacentral:rRNA from 1 species